UACAGAGGGGGCAAGCGUUGUCCGGAUUUAUUGGGCGUAAAGAGCGUGUAGGCGGCCAGGUAGGUCCGUUGUGAAAACUCGAGGCUCAACCUCGAGACGCCGAUGGAAACCAUCUGGCUAGAGUCCGGAAGAGGAGAGUGGAAUUCCCGGUGUAGCGGUGAAAUUCGUAGAUAUCGAGAGGAACACCGGUGGCGAAGGCGGCCUUCUGGACAGUGACUGACGCUGAGACGCGAAAGCGUGGGGAGCAAACAGG
rnacentral:rRNA from 1 species